CAGUCUGGGCGGCUUUGGGGCCGAGAUUUAUCUCUGGAGGAAUUCCUAUAAGAUAUUCCCUCCUGUCCAGGUCCAGCCCCGGGAGCAUCGUUAGGGGAACUCGGGAAGUGUCCGCCUACGGGGAACCAGGCAGAAAGGAGCCCUGGAGGUGCCUGACAGUUCUCCGCCGGCAGGGCUGGAGACGGAGACCCUGAGCCGGCCCCUCCUCCCCAGGUGCCAAGAGUCGCCUGGCGUGCCGAGAAGCUUGGGUUCCUUCGACUUCAUUUUCCCUGGUCGCCCUGACGGCUCCUUCCUGACGAGAGAAGACGCUCGCAGCCCGCAGCCGAGGACCUCAGCCAGAGCUUAGGGCGGAAGAACUCGCUCCGAUGUUCAGGUAGGUGCAUUUCCCAUCCCAGCCACCAGACCUGUCUGCCAGGCGUUCCCAAAUCGCCUUUGCAUGUGAGUUCCUACAAGUUAAUUUCUUCCCAAACGGACGCCCUACUUGGAGAGGUUAUAAGUAUAACCGCAGCCCCCCACUAAAAGUACAGGCUGGGAGGGGCAUCUCAGUUGUCCUCCCUUUUUCUGUUUUCGAAGAGAAAGAGCAGCUGAAGUGUGGAUGCUGGGUGCGGGGGUGUGAACCUUCGCCCUGCCCCCGGGUGACCCUGCCAGGUCCCGGGGGGCAUCUGGUGGCUGGAACCCAGCAGAGCUCCCGGGGCUGAGCACCUGAACCGAAGAAGCCCAGGACCGGACCUGCUGGCCGGUCAGGGAGCGGCUGAGCCUCAGAGGGGAAAGGAGCGUGGGGGUGAGAGGCCCCCAUUCCACAGGUACUGUGCCCCCUCCCCUUCCAUUCUUGGUUUUCCCAAAAUAUCUGUACUUAGCGAUGCUGUGAGCAGCUUGCCCCGGCAGACUCCCUCGAAUGCCCUGCGGUGAAUAUCCUAGGCCAGGUCUUGCCCUCUCUGCCCGUCUCCACUGAGCCUCUUUUUAGCUCACGGUGCUGUUGCCUCGCUGAUUUGAAAAUAAACAUCACGGGAGCGCUCCACGCAGCGGCAGACUCCGCCGGCCUGGGGUCUCAGGUCAGCCUCGGGAGCUAACCACGUGGACAGAGGCUUCCUCAUCUCCCACCACCUUUCCCUUCGGGGGCGUUUAGGCCCAAGCAGGGCACGGGCCACAGUGCUGAGUUUUGUAAGGUUUCCCUCGGGAGGACGCUUCUGUGGACAAUUUCCUCAGCCUAGAGACACUCUGAGGAGCAUCUCGCCCUGCUGGGUGGGUGUUGACUAUUUCUGAUCUUCAGUAACGGGAAACAAUGUCUCCAUCAAACCACCGAAGAGAAAGGCACGCCUGGAAGAUAGCUUGCAAGGUAACUGGUGGAAUAGAGAGGAGUUAUUUUGUAUCUUUCUUGAAACCCUUUCCCUGCUCCGCAGGAUCCGGGAAGCCCCCGGCAGGGGCUUCUCGCGUUUCCUGCACCCGGAGCUUCUCUGGGGCCAAACAGAGCUUCCUCGCAGCUGCGUGGUGUUAGGUUCUGCGAAGCCACGUGAGGGUGAGGGACCCUCCAGGGCCAGAAGGCGACGCUGGGUCUCAGCCCUUGGUCAAACUCUGGAAACAGCUAUCUCAGUCCCCAGGGCCUGGAGGAGGCCGUGGUCACGAGGUCACCCCCCAACUUUUGAUCUUCUAUGCUAAUGUGGCAUCAUAACCGGUGGCUCUGACCACAGACGUGGAGAUGGGGCUCAUGCCCCCACUGGGGGCAGGCGGACCGGCCUUGCUCCACAGCCCCGGGAUUUCCAGCCUGGGGGCCCAAAGCAACUCGUUUGGCUGGGCUUCCUGCCUUCAAAUAAAUUUCAUGGUGCUCUUCUUUGUGUAAAAGGCUGCAGGGAAGACAGGGUGCACCCCCUUGAAGCGAGGCAGAGCUCUCCUGGGCUCUCUCUCAGCCUCAGAGGCAGAUCAGCAGUUUUGAAGAAAGUGGAGAUUUUUGGUUUUCCUCCUUUGUGAGGGCUACCCUUCUCCCAAGGCCCUUCCCCGUCACAGAUGUCAAAGUAAUAAUGGACUGGAAUCCCUUUUCCCCCGGCCCCUUCCAGCUUUUAUGUUUUUUGGAUGGGUUGAGAAAUUUGGGAAAGGGAGGAGAGAGGGUCAGAUUUUUAUACUCCCACUCCUCACAUCAUUAAGACCCAGAAAAUCUCAUAGAGUCCCUGUCACUAUCUGAGGACAGAAUGUAUCCACUUCCAAUGGGAGGGGCAGGUGGUUUCCUCUCACACUGAGUUCUAGGACUGGAAACUUCUUCUCCUUCUUCCAGGUUGCCUGAACCUCCAGGGCAGGCUUGGCAGUACACAGUCAGGUUGCUGACCGAAGUCUCUCCUUCCUGGGGUGCCUCCAGAGCUCCCAGAAUCGGCCCCUUCCGUUGGCAGAAGUGCAGUGUCUUGGUCUCAUUUGCCUUCAUAUCCGCCAGUAAAGCUGAGACAGAUAAGCAGUAAUGGGUAUGAUUCACGGUUAAGGGUAACCGUAGAGUCAAGUUCCGGUAUUUAAUGUUGCCCUUAAUACUAUCACAGAACAGUGGUGACAUCUCAAAAGUUGGGAUGCUGGGCAGCCAAAGCAGGGGGUAACCGACUGAAGGUUGCUCUCUCAGGUAGGCAGGCUGUGUGUGUGUGUGUGUGUGUGUGGGGUCUGCUCAGGCAUUCUAACCAGAAAUACUCACCUGCAGAGUCCCCCCACCCCUCCCCAGAGUCUCCUGAGAGAGCCCCAAGCAGAGCCUCAGUUUGACCUCCAACCAUAGUAACCAUUGGGGGUCACAGGCAGCAAACCAGGGCUGGGGUUGCUGGGGCUCUCAGAUUUGUUAGGCAUGGGGCACAGGCUAGGCAGAAGCUGGGGGUGCACAACUCAAGAUGUUAUCCUAAGGCUGUAGAUGAAGGAAGAGAGCUGUAGGGAGAGGAAGCGCAAGGCAGUGGAGACAACAAAUCCCUUCCAGACUUCUCCACCUGCCAUCCUUUCCCUUAUUGUCUUCUGCCAGUUCACUCAAUGUUAAAUCAUUCUCUUUCCCAAAUCAGCCAGCUUGGUGACUUUGGCUUGAGAUCAUAUUAUGUACACGUGCGCCAAAGGAGACCCGUUGGGUCCCUGCUUUUACGUUAUCGCUAAGUCUGAUUUCUGUCAGAGUUCCGCUUCUGUCUACCUGUAACCCUCCGUACCCUCCCUCUGGCUGAGUUUGUCCCUCUCUGCCUGUGCCAUGGAUUCUUCCCGUAGGUCACAGAGCGCUGCCCUCCGUGCUUGCCACUCCACGCAGCCGCUGAGGGGCUCGAAAGGCAGGAGUGAGGAGUGGUCUCCAGACUCUUGGCCCAGGGGCAGCCCCUUUGCCUCCUUCCUCCUCUAGCCCGGAGCCAUCUUCUCCACCUCUGCCCACCCUCCGCCCCUUCUUGGUUCAAGCCCAGAAACGCCUUGUAGUGUGUGGUACACUUCCCUCUCUUUGAGGGACAUCUGCCAACCGGCACAGUGGUGAUGACAGUUUCCAGAUGAUUUUCCAAAAGCAAAGAAAUCUGGGGGAGGAGAGCAUGGCAGUGGCCAAGCGCUGAGCAGGCUGAGCGUGGAGGUUCCGGAAGAGGCCUGGGAAGGUGGAGUUUCUUGGAACUCAAGGAUUCUUUUUCCCCCUUCAAUUCUGACUAGAGCCCAAGCCUGUAAUUGCUCUGUUUUCUCUUGAGUCUGAGUCUGCCCUGGGAACUUGGGUCUGAGGGCUGCAGGGAGGUACAAGGGCUUUUGCCUCCCUGGCUCCCCUCUCCAGCUCGGCCAGGCCUCAGUCUUGCUGCCACCCGUCUGGGCCGGCCCAGUGCUUUCAGGCAGAGAUGGAGGAAAACUCAACCAUCUCCUUCUUCUCCCUCUGGGCUUCUGCAUCCCAGUUUCACUUCUGCCAGUGAUUUGUAGUUAGGCAACCCAGAAGGUGGGGGUGAAGUUGCCUUGGAAACUGAAGAAUGAGAAAGAUUAGUUUCUCUUUUGAUUCCGAAAAAUCCGAGAUUGAUGUACUGACUUGCUUCCUAUGGUAAGAUUUUCUUUUGUCACAAAUUAGGCAGGCUUUCUUACAGUCCCUUCUUCUAACGCUUCUUUUCAGGGAAGCCUGUCUCUCCCAGGUAGAAGCUGUUCUCACCUACCGUUAUUUUGACCAAGAUGUGGGACUUAUUCAGAUUAUGGAGUAAAUGGCGAUUAAAGGUCACUAUGCUCUCCAUCAGAGGCAGCCGGAGUUUAAUAGGGGAUGCAGUUCAAGUACUAACCCCCCUGGGAAGACUGGGGCAUUCCCUAGAGAUUGAUACUUUCCUGUGUCCAAGGUCUUAUCAUGCUUUAUUUGGGCCUUUAUUACUCUGUCAUUUGUCCUUUGUAUAUGCGUCCUCACCACAGAACUCAUCUCCUCGAGGGGAAGCGCUCCUUUUAUCUGCUUUGUAUCCCUGGCCAAUUGCUGAAUUCGACUGAAAAAAUGUUCAUUGAGGGAAUGAAUAUCAACUUAGAAAAAAUCCUGGUUCAGUAGUACUGGAGAUUGAAUCCAGGACCUUCGCAUGGAGCUUCUCCCCUCCAAAACAAGAUCUCACUAAGUUGCCCAGGCUGGCCUCAAACUUAGGUUCUCUCUGCCUCAGCCAUCCAGAGUCCUGGGGUUACAGGUGUGCUGUAAUUUAGUCAAAGCAGUGACUAUCUACUGGUAGGAUUUUACAUAGGAGGGACCCCUGGGCCAGUUAACUAAAGAUGUCCUCUGGCUUCCCUCCGGAUGUGUCCUAUGGGCGGCUGCCUGUGUCACUGACAAACCUGUCCUUGUCCUGGUGCUUUGUGAAUUUCCUGCCCUCACUUCUUUCUAUAAGAAGGCAUGUUGGAGACAGUCCUUCGGAGAGUAUUUGGAGUGAUAGAUAGAGAGCUUUCAGAUCACAAUCUUUCUACAUUUCUGGUCUGGAUUUACAGGUUUUGAGAAAACAAUCAAACCACCAACUGAAAUUGUCAUUACCACAUCAGAACUUCUAAAACCCCUGGAACUCGCUACCUAAAUA